GGGGUUGUAGCUCAGUGAUAGAGCGCUUGUGUCGCCCACAUGAGGCCCUGGGUUCGAUCUUCAGCACCACA
rnacentral:tRNA from 1 species